GAAUAAGUUAGUUAAGUAGUAAUACUAAUAGCAUAGACAAAAGCUAAUAGUUUCUCAUUUAUUUAGCUGCCAUAUAUUGUGAAUAAAUGAUGUAUUCAUCUGAGUUAGAAGAGUUGGUAGAUGAUCCAGGACUGCCUGAGAAUCCCAUUGAUACUAGUGAAGAUACCACUUCAAGGGUCAGACUUGACGCUAGCGAUGAUCUAGAUGAUUCAACCAAUAUUGAUGAUAUUGUGUUAUGUGUUUACUACCAUUCUGAGGCCUUGGCUGCCGCCGUGUACAACACUGGGACAUCGGAG